CAAAAUGCCUGCAUGGUAUGUUCCUACUUGACCUUUAUGAUCUAGUUCCAGCAGAGAGUUCCUGUUCUCCCCACGCUCUCUCCUUUUCCAUCCUGGAAACCCUCAGGCACUCAGAAGAAAAACUGUGUGAAGAGACACAAUGAGACGGCAGCCACGUGAAAGCCAGAAGUGAGGUUUCACCAGGAGUCAUGAUCUGGGAUCUCCAUCCCUCAGAACUGUGGGAAAAUAUAUUUCUAUUGUUUAAGUGCCUGCUAUGUGUCUGAUGCCAAACCAGGUUCUGGGAAUAUAAUGGGCUGAAAGCAAUGAAGUCUCCAGUUUCACGUGCUUGUCCUGCAGUGUUGGCAUUCCCACAUCCAGAAAGGCGGGCCUGGCACCUUUGCAUGUGCCGCUGCACACUCUUCGGCUUGCUUCCUACUGGACCUUCGGAUGGGUGGGCCAUCCGGAAAGACCUUCAGAGAGAAGCUUUUCAAACUGUGGAAAGUUUUCAUAGGUCAGCAUGGGAAGUGGUACAUAUCCCUCCACUUAUGUUUUCAUGGUUAAAAUCCAGUA